rnacentral:rRNA from 1 species
AUUGAACGCUGGCGGCAUGCCUAACACAUGCAAGUCGAGCGAGCGGAGGACGGGGGGGUAGUGUAUGGGGAUCUGCCCGAUAGAGGGGGAUAAAUACUGGAAACGGUGGCUAAUACCGCAUACUAUAGGCUGCACCCAUAUGCGAUUAGCUAGUAGGUGGGGUAAAGGCUCACCAAGGCGACGAUCUCUAGCUGGUCUGAGAGGAUGAUCAGCCACACUGGGACUGAGACACGGCCCAGACUCCUACGGGAGGCAGCAGUGGGGAAGAUUGCACAAUGGGCGCAAGCCUGAUGCAGCAAUGCCGCGUGUGUGAAGAAGGCCUUCGGUUUGUAAAGUACUUUCAGCGGGGAGGCGUUACCCGAAGAAGAAGCACCGGCUAACUACGUGCCAGCCGCCGCGGUAAUUC